GACGAACGCUGGCGGCGUGCUUAACACAUGCAAGUCGAACGGAAAGGCCCUGCUUUCGUGGGGUGCUCGAGUGGCGAACGGGGACGUAACACGUAAAUAACCUGACCUAGUUUUUGGGAUAACUUCAGGAAACGGAGGCUACGACCGUACAGGAUACCCCCUUCCAGUGUGGGGGUUGGAAAUUUUGGGCGGUUGGGGAUGGACUGGCGGCUUACCGGCUUGUUGGUUGGGUAGGUGCAGACCAAGGGAUUGACCGGUAGCCGGCCUGAGAGGGUGAACGGGCACAUUGGGACUGAGAUACGGACCAGACGCCUACGGGAGGCAGCAGUGGGGAAUAUUGUCCAAUGGGAGGAAGCCUGAUGCAGAAACGCCGCGGGCGGGAUGACGGCUUGUGGGUUGUAAAAAGCUUUCGCCUGUGACGAAGCGGUAGUGACGGUAAUGGGUAAAGAAGCACCGGCUAACUACGUG
rnacentral:rRNA from 1 species